AACGAACGCUGGCGGCAUGCCUAACACAUGCAAGUCGAACGAGACCUUCGGGUCUAGUGGCGCACGGGUGCGUAACGCGUGGGAACCUGCCCUUAGGUUCGGAAUAACUCCCCGAAAGGGGUGCUAAUACCGGAUAAUGUCUUCGGACCAAAGAUUUAUCGCCUUUGGAUGGGCCCGCGUUGGAUUAGCUAGUUGGUAGGGUAAAAGCCUACCAAGGCGACGAUCCAUAGCUGGUCUGAGAGGAUGAUCAGCCACACUGGGACUGAGACACGGCCCAGACGCCUACGGGAGGCAGCAGUGGGGAAUAUUGGACAAUGGGCGAAAGACUGAUACAGCAAUGCCGCGUGAGUGAUGAAGGCCUUAGGGUUGUAAAGCUCUUUUACCCGGGAUGAUAAUGACAGUACCGGGAGAAUAAGCGCCGGCUAACUCCGUG
rnacentral:rRNA from 1 species